AGACCUUUUCACCCUUCUUUGAGGUGCAAAACAGUAUUUUCUGGGCUGUGAUUUCCUCCCCCCUUUUGCAGCCCGGCCUGCGGGGGUUCGGGGCGUUUCCCUCGCUUUUGGGAGAGGCGGAGCAAACGCCGCGGGAGAAAAUGUCGGGUGCGCUGUGAGGGGACCGGCGGCCGCCUCAGGGCAGUUUAACAGAGUAAAGAACAUGAAGAAAAAGCAGCACAUUGCUCAGAAAAGUUAUUUCAGGAGACUGCUACAAGAGGAGAAAGCUGCUGCUCUCCUGUCUGGCUGAAUCCCACAGAAGAGCAAACGUAAGCCCCUAAGGAAGGAGCACAACAGACACCAAACUGGCAAAAUACAGAAGGUCUGCCAAGCAGGAUGCAUUGUGCCACUUACCAAUCACUGCAAGUGACAAGCAGGGCAGUGUUUCAUAGGCAGGUUGUCAAAGUGUAAAGACUCUGAACCAGAGGCACAAAGCCGGAGGAAAAGAAAAAUUAAAUCACCAUCAGCCAGUUCAGCCCCAUGGAUACAGAUCAUCUUGCUAUAAACAAAGCUUAUUAACUGGACAUUUUCAUGUAA